ACUCCUACGGGAGGCAGCAGUGGGGAAUAUUGCGCAAUGGGCGAAAGCCUGAUGCAGCGACGCCGCGUGCGGGAUGAAGGCCUUCGGGUUGUAAACCGCUUUCAGCAGGGACGAAGGGUUUCUGACGGUACCUGCAGAAGAAGCACCGGCUAACUACGUGCCAGCAGCCGCGGUAAU
rnacentral:rRNA from 1 species